rnacentral:rRNA from 1 species
AGUGAACGCUGGCGGUAGGCCUAACACAUGCAAGUCGAACGGCAGCACAGUAAGAGCUUGCUCUUACGGGUGGCGAGUGGCGGACGGGUGAGGAAUACAUCGGAAUCUACUUUUUCGUGGGGGAUAACGUAGGGAAACUUACGCUAAUACCGCAUACGACCUACGGGUGAAAGCAGGGGAUCUUCGGACCUUGCGCGAUUGAAUGAGCCGAUGUCGGAUUAGCUAGUUGGCGGGGUAAGGCCCACCAAGGCGACGAUCCGUAGCUGGUCUGAGAGGAUGAUCAGCCGCACUGGAACUGAGACACGGUCCAGACUCCUACGGGAGGCAGCAGUGGGGAAUAUUGGACAAUGGGCGCAAGCCUGAUCCAGCCAUACCGCGUGGGUGAAGAAGGCCUUCGGGUUGUAAAGCCCUUCUGUUGGGAAAGAAAAGCAGCAGGUUAAUACCCCGCUGUUCUGACGGUACCCAAAGAAUAAGCACCGGCUAACUUCGUG